rnacentral:lncRNA from 1 species
CCUAAUCAAACGGUCCAGGUUCGGCCUUUUCAUUAGAUAAAACUGUAUGAAAACACCCCAUAACCCUAGAGAUCGCUACCCUCUAUCCUCGUACAACCCCACUCCCCUGUAACUCCACCGGACCCGCCGCCGGCGAUUACAAAACCACGGCAAUUCUCUCCCAAAAUAACACCAUGAAUUCCCCGUCUCCCCUCCUAUCCAACUUCGUAAUUCAUUUUUCUCGAAUCCUACCCCUUGCCCUCGAAUCUCCAUUUGAAAUAUCUCCGGCCAAGACGUCACCUUGACCAGAUACCCUCAGAUUUACACCAUAGGACCUUCUCCCCAUACUCUAUCGAAACCCCAGGGUUUUGACCCUCAAAUAUGGUCGGAAUCGUUCGAUUUUUGAUUUGAACAUUUCUGGCCAAAGCCCUAAAUGCUCCAAAUUGUACCAAGUUGGCACAGUGUGAUCCUCUCACCAUCUUCACGAAGAUUCCACCACCUAGGGCGUUCAAACAUCAUCGGAAACGGCCGAAUUUGAAAAAUGACGAUUGGUCGGAGUUCUCUUUAUCAGUGAGUUUUUUUUCAAUUUCUUUCUUUCUGUUUUUCUAUCUGUUUGAAUAACUGUGACGCAAUCGUUUAGUUUUUCUUCCAGUGUGGUUUGAGUUUUAGACUUAGAUCGGUUAAAUUUACGGAUUAAUUUUGGUUAUUUUGAUUAAUUGGCUUAUAUUAUGGUAAUCUCGAUUCUUUGUCUGGUUAGUUUAGUUGUUAGGUAUUGAUUUAAAUUGAUUAGUUUAGUUGAAUGUUCUUCUUGUAAAUUGAUUCUUCUUUUUAGAUUCUUAGUUCAAUUCUGUUUGAUUCUCAUCUAAUUGAGUUAGUACUUUUGUCAGUUUAAUUAAGUUGGUUUAGUUGAUAUUCAGUGUUCAUUGGCAAGAUAAUUAGCUUUAGUAGGAUUGGAUAUAGUUGACUAGAUUAGUUAGUAAUUUUGAAUGAAUUCGAGGGCAUUGUGGGUAAUUGGUAAGCUACAGGAAUGAGGUAGACUUAGCUAGAACUCCCUAGGAGCUUCUAGAUGGGGUUUUUUUUAGGUAAUUUGCAAAACAUAGGUGUAGUUACUUGGAUAACAAGUUAAUAAAUGAGGGACUAAAGUUGAAACUAAAGAAGGACCUAAAAGAAAAACUAAAGUUUGGUGCUUAUUUCUUGAUGCCUAUAAAAGGCAUCAGAAUUGCCUUGAUGAAGGACUUUUUUGGAAGCCAAGAAAAAUCCCCCUAAAAAUAGUUCUAAGAUUCUAAAGUUAGUUCGAUUUUCAGGUUUGAAAUCCAGAUCUAGAACUCUUCUUCUCAUUUUAGAAAAACCAAAAAAAAUACAAAAGCCACAAAAAUACCACAACAUUGUUACAUUGUUUUUUUUAAUACAGCUUUUAGUUUGACUGGUCAUUUCAUUUAGGGUCAGAAAAUAACUAGAAUUCUCCAUUUUCUGUUCGAUAUUUGAAAUCUGGAAAUAUUUGGAGUUAACUGUGCAUUGUUUAUGGUUUAUUCGAGUUGGUUGUGGUGUUAUUCAUCGAGUGUGACGAUUUACUGGGUUGUUUAUGGCUAUUUGGUGCUGUUGUGGGUGAAUCUAUUGAUUCUGCUUGAAUUUUGAAACGUUUCUGGGCUGCUGAGAGUGUUCAUUAUUGAUGCUGCUUUAUCACUGUCUUGGCUGAGAUUUUCUCCAAAAUUUCUAUUCUAUUUCCAGGUAUUUCUUCAGCUCCAGUUGAUAUGUGAAAGGUAAAACAGUCGACGUGUGGUAGUUAAUUGUAGAAAUGAAAUUUGGCUUGAGUUAAUAAAGAUCCACAUGUUUUAGUUUCUUAUAGUUUAAUUGCGUCUAUACAAUAGCUGUAGUAGAGUUCAAUGAAUGGAAUGCUUUACGAUUUGUAAUAGAUGUACUGUGGCAGUUACUCUUUUGGACAUGUUCUAUGAGUUGGAAUCCUGAUUUGGUUUUGUAGUUAUGAAAAUAGAUUCAACAAUGGUUGUAAGUUCAAUAGUUAAUUCCAGUUAGUUUGUAGUUGAAAAAACAGGUGCAUCAUUUGAGUGUUUAGUGUCAGUUUUAGUGAACCUGGAUUUGAAUUAAUAUAAUGACGUUGCUUGAAUGUUGAGUAUUAGUCUAGUAAUGUUAAUGUGGAUUAGUAUCAUGUAGUGGAGGUGUCAUUGUUGUGCGUGUUUCCAGUUUAAUUGUUACCUCAUUGAAUCUUAGAAGUUCAUUAGUAGAUGAUAACUAAAACAAUCUAGAUGGGUCAAUAAAAUAGUCUAGCAAAUCGUGACUUUUGAUUGAAUUCAUACAAUACUUGUUUUAAGAAGGCAAGGUUCCAGUGGCCUGAUUUCCGCCGGUUUGGGCCAUGUUUUGUUUGGAGUGGCCAAUUUGAUUUCACACUUGUUUGGGGCCUGGACCAAGGUUUCCUUUGGGCCAUGUUUUGUUUCCUUGUUUGUGAGUUUGGUAUCUUGCAACUUUAAUUUGAGUUCUGCAAAUGAGACUCACGUCUGAGGCCCAAUUUCGAGCUGAUCCCAUGCCAGAAUGGGUCAAUGAUUCGCGUCUGGCCAGUUCGAAGUCCGUUGGUCCCGAUGCCAAAUCCAAUGGCUCGAAUUAAAAUUACUGCUGUCUUUUUUAGAUAGAACAAAAAUAAUUACUUAGGAUAAUUUGUUUACCUAAUUAUUAGAGACAAACCAAGUAGAAAAAUCAUAGUCGCUUUAGGAUUGACCUUUAAAUAAAAAUGAUGAGACGAGAAUUGCCAAAUAAAAAUGCAAAUUGCGGGGCCCCCAUUCAAAGAUUAACUAAAAAAUAUGUAGAAUUCGGGAUGGACCGUUUAGCAAAUUUCGCGGCCCUCCCCAAAGAUAAUAACUCGUUAGACGCUUUAGGCGCGUUUUUAUUAAACUUGGGUGUACAUUUAUGUGACCCAAAUUCAAAUCUCAACGGAGCCAAAAUAUGUCAACAACCACGGGCGCAUUGCUGUGACGUGGUUCGAGACGUGAUUUCACGACGUUGUAAUUCUCAUUAAAAUACAUGUAAAAGCGGUUUCUAAUAAAAAAACACAUAAGCUAGAACAUAUUUUGAAAUCAGAUAAAUCAAAUGCAAUAAUUGAGCGAUUGUGCUAGAACCACGAAAUCCGAGAAUGCCUAAUACCUUAUCCCAGAUUAACAGAAUUCCUUACUCAGAUUUCUAGUUCGCGGACUGUUAACAAGGUCAUAAUUUUUUCGGUUCGGAAUUUAACCGGUGACUUGGGGCACCAUUAAUCUCCCAAGUGACGACUCUGAAUACUAAUAAUAAAUCUCGUUCUGAUUGUCCUUUAAUUUGAAAAAACUCCUUUAUGUCCUUGCGGGUGUAGUGAAAAACGAGGUAUGACAGUAAUUUAUUCCCUUGCCGAGACGUGUAAGUUAUUGUUGUUGUUCCCUUGCCGGGAAUUAAUUGUUUACUUGUAUUCUCCCUUGCUGGGAAAAUUGAAUUGAUUCUUGUUCCCUUGUUAGGAAACCAUUAUAUAUCAUGAAAUGAGAUCGUGUGGCACGCCGACCACUUAUAUAUUAUGAAAUGGAAUCGCAUGGCAAGCUGACCACUUAUAUAAUUUGAAAUGGGAUUGUGUGGCACGCCGACCACUUAUAUAAUAUGAAAUGGGAUUGUGUGCCACGCCGAAUACUUAUAUAAUAUGAAAUGGGAUCGUGCGGCAUACCGACCACUUAUAUAUAUUAUAAAAUAGGAUCGUGUGGUAUGCCUACCACUUAUAUAUUAUGAAAUGGGAUCGUGUGGCACGCUGACCACUUAUGUAUCAUGAAAUGGGAUCACGUGGCACGCCGACCACUUAUUUUGUGUUAUAAGGAAAUCAGUUGUAGUUUCCUUGUUUAUCUUUGUUCUUCUAUUUUAUCUGCUACCCCCAAAAGUAUGUUCCCCUCCCAGUCUUAAUUAUUACUUUCCGCUGUUAUUUUAUUGUACUUGUAUCUAUAUAUAUAUAUAUAUAUAUAUAUAUGCGCACAGGUUUGAUUUGGUAGUUCUGUCUAGCCUUGUCACUACUUUGCCGGGGUUAGGCUAGACACUUACCAGCACAUGAGGUCAGUUCUGUUGAUGUUACACUCUGUGCAUCUUUUUGCAUAGAUUAUAGAGCCAGAGCAGCUUGUGGACCACAGUAGGAGCGUUAGGAGAUGACUUAAGUCCAGAGCUUCCCGAGGUAGCAUUGCUGGCGUCCGCAUGGCUGGAGUCUCUUCUAGUUUACCUUCGUUUGUUAUCUUUGUACCGGAACAAACAAUGUUGUACUUUAUUUUAGACUUUGUAUUUAGCACUCUUUAGAUGUUCAUGAGUUAGUGACACCAGAUCUGGGCAGAGUUAUAUUUGAACUUCUCGCUUUCAGUUAUUUAUGUUUUAAGACAUGCUUUUAUAUUAAUUAUCUCAUCUUUUUUUAUAUUGUUGAUGUUGUAAGAUAAGUAUUAAAUUAAUUGGCUUCCCUAGCUUAUAUUAGUAGGUGCCAUCACGACUCCCGAUGGUGGAAAUUCCGGGUCGUGACAAGUUGGUACAGAGAACUAGGUUACAUAGGUCUCACACUCAUGGACAAACUUAGUAGAGUCUGAGGGAUCAGUACGGAGAGGCUGCAGAGUUAGGAAAAAUUUCACUUUUGUUAUUUUUUGUCGUACGAUUCUGUUUCCCAAAUAUUGAUUGUCGUUCUACUCUGUUCUUUCGCAUAUGGAG